CGUACAGGUCUCCGUAGGUGAACCUGCGGAGGGAUCAUUACACAAAUAUGAAGGCGGGCUGGAACCUCUCGGGGUUACAGCCUUGCUGAAUUAUUCACCCUUGUCUUUUGCGUACUUCUUGUUUCCUUGGUGGGUUCGCCCACCACUAGGACAAACAUAAACCUUUUGUAAUUGCAAUCAGCGUCAGUAACAAAUUAAUAAUUACAACUUUCAACAACGGAUCUCUUGGUUCUGGCAUCGAUGAAGAACGCAGCGAAAUGCGAUAAGUAGUGUGAAUUGCAGAAUUCAGUGAAUCAUCGAAUCUUUGAACGCACAUUGCGCCCUUUGGUAUUCCAAAGGGCAUGCCUGUUCGAGCGUCAUUUGUACCCUCAAGCUUUGCUUGGUGUUGGGCGUCUUGUCUCUAGCUUUGCUGGAGACUCGCCUUAAAGUAAUUGGCAGCCGGCCUACCGGUUUCGGAGCGCAGCACAAGUCGCACUCUCUAUCAGCAAAGGUCUAGCAUCCAUUAAGCCUUUUUUUUCAACUUUUGACCUCGGAUCAGGUAGGGAUACCCGCCGAACUUA
rnacentral:rRNA from 1 species